rnacentral:rRNA from 1 species
AGUAGGGAUAACACCUGGAAACAGAUGCUAAUACCGUAUAACAGAGAAAACCGCAUGGUUUUCUUUUAAAGAUGGCUCUGCUAUCACUUCUGGAUGGACCCGCGGCGUAUUAGCUAGUUGGUGAGGCAAAGGCUCACCAAGGCAGUGAUACGUAGCCGACCUGAGAGGGUAAUCGGCCACAUUGGGACUGAGACACGGCCCAGACUCCUACGGGAGGCAGCAGUAGGGAAUCUUCCACAAUGGACGCAAGUCUGAUGGAGCAACGCCGCGUGAGUGAAGAAGGGUUUCGGCUCGUAAAGCUCUGUUGUUAAAGAAGAACGUGGGUAAGAGUAACUGUUUACCCAGUGACGGUAUUUAACCAGAAAGCCACGGCUAACUACGUGCCAGCAGCCGCGGUAAUACGUAGGUGGCAAGCGUUAUCCGGAUUUAUUGGGCGUAAAGCGAGCGCAGGCGGUCUUUUAGAUCUAAUGUGAAAGCCUUCGGCUCAACCGAAGAAGUGCAUUGGAAACUGGGAGACUUGAGUGCAGAAGAGGACAGUGGAACUCCAUGUGUAGCGGUGAAAUGCGUAGAUAUAUGGAAGAACACCAGUGGCGAAGGCGGCUGUCUGGUCUGCAACUGACGCUGAGGCUCGUAAGCAUGGGUAGCGAACAGGAUUAGAUACCCUGGUAGUCCAUGCCGUAAACGUUGAUUACUAAGUGUUGGAGGGUUUCCGCCCCUUCAGUGCUGCAGCUAACGCAUUAAGUAAUCCGCCUGGGGAGUACGACCGCAA